rnacentral:rRNA from 1 species
UGGGGAAUUUUGGACAAUGGGGGAAACCCUGAUCCAGCCAUCCCGCGUGUGCGAUGAAGGCCUUCGGGUUGUAAAGCACUUUUGGCAGGAAAGAAACGUCAUGGGUUAAUACCCCGUGAAACUGACGGUACCUGCAGAAUAAGCACCGGCUAACUACGUGCCAGCAGCCGCGGUAAUACGUAGGGUGCAAGCGUUAAUCGGAAUUACUGGGCGUAAAGCGUGCGCAGGCGGUUCAGAAAGAAAGAUGUGAAAUCCCAGAGCUCAACUUUGGAACUGCAUUUUUAACUACCGGGCUAGAGUGUGUCAGAGGGAGGUGGAAUUCCGCGUGUAGCAGUGAAAUGCGUAGAUAUGCGGAGGAACACCGAUGGCGAAGGCAGCCUCCUGGGAUAACACUGACGCUCAUGCACGAAAGCGUGGGGAGCAAACAGG